rnacentral:rRNA from 1 species
CUGGUGCCAGCAGCCGCGGUAAUUCCAGCUCCAAUAGCGUAUAUUAAAGUUGUUGUGGUUAAAAAGCUCGUAGUUGAACCUUGGGCCUGGCUGGCCGGUCCGCCUCACCGCGUGCACUGGUCCGGCCGGGCCUUUCCCUCUGUGGAACCCCAUGCUCUUCACUGAGUGUGGCGGUGAAACAGGACUUUUACUUUGAAAAAAUUAGAGUGCUCCAGGCAGGCCUAUGCUCGAAUACAUUAGCAUGGAAUAAUAAAAUAGGACGCGUGGUUCUAUUUUGUUGGUUUCUAGGACCGCCGUAAUGAUUAAUAGGGACAGUCGGGGGCAUCAGUAUUCAAUUGUCAGAGGUGAAAUUCUUGGAUUUAUUGAAGACUAACUACUGCGAAAGCAUUUGCCAAGGAUGUUUUCAUUAAUCAGGAACGAAAGUUAGGGGAUCGAAGACGAUCAGAUACCGUCGUAGUCUUAACCAUAAACUAUGCCGACUAGGGAUCGGACGAUGUUAUUUUUUGACGCGUUCGGCACCUUACGAGAAAUCAAAGUGCUUGGGCUCCAGGGGGAGUAUGGUCGCAAGGCUGAAACUUAAAGGAAUUG